rnacentral:antisense_RNA from 1 species
ACUGCUAAAUUUAGACAGCCCACUGCGCAGCCACUAGCUAAUUAUCUGUUUAGAUAGCACUUUAACACGUUGUUGAGACUCAGUUAAAUGUUAAACAACCAAAAUUUUAAUAUCACUAGCCAAUUUCAUUCCCCCAGGUUUUCCGUGAUGGCUCCACAUCUCCAAGAAAACAUCUUCAACUAAAGAUGUCAAAGCACAAGCUCACUUCCCGCGGAAGGUAGCAGUUACUAUUAUCUACUUGACAGCUACAAGAACCUAGGCACAGAGGUUAAGUGCUCUGCAAAUAAUACCAGCCAGUGGUGGUAGUAUUCGCCAGAACCAAGUUCUUGCCUUCCAGUGGACACCAUUGACCUCUCAAGAUUAUUCUUUAAGUUAAAAAGAGCUGAAAGCCUGCAGACUACAUUUUGUUAAGUCUUUGGUAAACACAUUUCAUAUUAAUUUCUGUUACAAGGCAGCAGAAAUAGGCACAGUGCCUCCAACAUAUCAAAGGAAAGUAAAGGCUAGUGGAAGGGGAUAACAGCUUCCUGACCUCCAGGCAUGAAUCACAAAGGGCCUCAAAACCACAUUAAAAUUUAAGAUUGAUCUGCUCUUCUGCUUCUGAAUGUGAGAGCCUAUACUGGAUCUCUGAAGAAAAUAAAGAUGAGAUGAGGUUCUGAUCCCUUGGA